CACGUAGGGCGCAAGCGUUGUCCGGAAUUAUUGGGCGUAAAGAGCUCGUAGGCGGUCUGUUACGUCUGCUGUGAAAGCCCCGGGCUCAACCUGGGAAUGGCAGUGGAUACUGGCAAGCUGGAGUGCGGUAGAGGGUAGUGGAAUUCCCGGUGUAGCGGUGAAAUGCGUAGAGAUCGGGAGGAACACCAGUGGCGAAGGCGGCUACCUGGAUCAGCACUGACACUGAGGCACGAAAGCGUGGGGAGCAAACAGG
rnacentral:rRNA from 1 species